GAAUAUUGGACAAUGGGGGGAACCCUGAUCCAGCCAUGCCGCGUGUGUGAAGAAGGCCUUUUGGUUGUAAAGCACUUUAAGCGAGGAGGAGGAGCUCUUGGUUAAUACCCAAGAUGCUUGGACGUUACUCGCAGAAUAAGCACCGGCUAACUCUGUGCCAGCAGCCGCGGUAAUACAGAGGGUGCAAGCGUUAAACGGGUUUACGGGGCGUAAGGGGCGCGAAGUUGGCAAAUAAAGUCAAAGGGGAAACCCCGGGGCUUAACUGGGGAAUUGCAUUGGAUAUGGGUGGGUAAGGGUAGGGGAGGGGAGGGUAGAAUCCCGGUGGUGGGGGGGAAAGGCGAGAGGACCGGAGGAAUAACGGAUGGGGAGGGCGGCAACUUGGCCAAAUACGGACACUGAGGUGGAAAGCAAGGGGAGCAAACA
rnacentral:rRNA from 1 species